rnacentral:rRNA from 1 species
AACGCCAAGAACCUUACCUGGUCUUGACAUCCGCGGAAGUUUUCAGAGAUAAGAAUGUGCCUUCGGGAACCGUGAGACAGGUGCUGCAUGGCUGUCGUCAGCUCGUGUUGUGAAAUGUUGGGUUAAGUCCCGCAACGAGCGCAACCCUUAUCCUUUGUUGCCAGCGGUCCGGCCGGGAACUCAAAGGAGACUGCCAGUGAUAAACUGGAGGAAGGUGGGGAUGACGUCAAGUCAUCAAGGCCCUUACGACCAGGGCUACACACGUGCUACAAUGGCGCAUACAAAGAGAAGCGACCUCGCGAGAGCAAGCGGACCUCAUAAAGUGCGUCGUAGUCCGGAUUGGAGUCUGCAACUCGACUCCAUGAAGUCGGAAUCGCUAGUAAUCGUGGAUCAGAAUGCCACGGUGAAUACGUUCCCGGGCCUUGUACACACCG